ACCAAGGAGUCUAACAUGUGCGCGAGCCGCGGGGCAGUACGAAACCCGUAAGGCGAAAUGAAGGUGAACGCCGGCGCGGUCCGGCGGAGGUUGGAUCCCGUCCCGUCGGGGCGGGCGCACUACCGGCCGAUCUUCUCCGCCCUGUCGGCGAGGUCGAGCGAGAGCGUGCAAGUCGGGACCCGAAAGAUGGUGAACUAUGCCUGAGGAGGUUGAAGCCAGAGGAAACUCUGGUGGAGGACCCGUAGCGAUUCUGACGUGCAAAUCGAUCGUCAAAUUUGGGUAUAGGGGCGAAAGACUAAUCGAACCGUCUAGUAGCUGGUUCCCUUCGAAGUUUCCCUCAGGAUAGCUGGCGCUCUGUCGCAGUUUUAUCUGGUAAAGCGAAUGAUUAGAGGUCUUGGGGGCGAAACGCCCUCAACCUAUUCUCAAACUUUAAAUUGGUAAGAAGCCCGACUCGCUCGUUUGGAGCCGGGCAUGGAAUGCGAGUGCCAAGUGGGCCACUCUUGGUAAGCAGGACUGGCGAUGCGGGAUGAACCGAACGCCGGGUUAAGGCGCCCGACGCGACGCUCAUCAGAGCCCACAAAAGGUGUUGGUUGAUAUAGACAGCAGGACGGUGGCCAUGGAAGUCGGAAACCGCUAAGGAGUGUGUAACAACUCACCUGCCGAAUCAAUCAGCCCUGAAAAUGGAUGGCGCUGGAGCGUCGGGCCUAUACCCGGCCGUCGCGGCGGUACGAGCAUCGAGUUGGUGCGCUAGGCCGCGACGAGUAGGAGGGCCGCGGCGGCGGGCGUAAAAGCCUAGGGCGCGAGCCCGGGUGGAGCA
rnacentral:ncRNA from 1 species